CUGUUUUAAUUGACCCUGAAGCUAUACAUGAGGAGGAGAUUAGUAAUUAAAUUUAUUAUCUUUUAGAUGUAGCUACUUACAUGGAGAACCUUGCCUUACUUGAUGGAGCAAACGUGGUAUCUUACUGAGAGGAUGGUGCUGUGUAUAAUAAGCGAUUUCAUCACAGAUGAGAUAAGAAAGAGAAGAGCACUCUGUUGAAGUUGAAUUUAAGAUGUAGGAGAGCUGCAAGAUUGAAAAGAAAUUUUUUUGCCAGAGAGAGAAGAAGAGCUGGAAUGCCUUGAAGAGGAAGUGGACUCAAAGAUGGAAGGUGGUGAGAGCUUUGAUAAGAUGUAGCAGCAGCACCUUAAGAAGUAGAAGAAGCCCUUUGCUUGGAAAGUUUGGAAGCCUACUCAAGAAGGAUGGCACUAGCAACCAUAAGUAUAGAGAUUGAGCAGUUUGGCCUAACUUAUUCCUUAAUAGCAGGCAUGUAUAAUUGGUAUCAAUUUGCACCUAAAUGUGUUUGCUUCAUUGUUUAUGUUUCCAGAAAGCAGAAUAGGAUAAAGAAAUGAUGAGGCUUCUAUUAUCAUUUUAGUUUUUCCUUGUAUCUCUUUUGAUUUUUGAAAUGUGAUUCCUCAUAUGGGACAGUAUCUUGUACGUGAUGGAGAUUUUUUUUUUCCUUCAUUUUUAUUAUGUUCAUUGCCCUUCUUAUCUAGAUUGUAUGAAUAGGAGUGGUAAUUUGAAUUUCUAUCUUUGAUGUACUGCUGCU